CUCUGGAGCCCGGCCGCGCUGCAGCCGCGGAUCCGAGCGGCAGCUACCUGGCCGAGCCGGGGGAGGGUGGGUGCCGGCAGGAGGAGGGCUCCGGGCGUCGGGAGGCUGGAGGGAACGCCCACCUCCCGCCGGCACGCCCAGUGGGCUACGGCCAGGGGUGCAUCGGGUGCCUCCUUUGGAGUGCCCAGGUACGCGCCGUACCUGGCGUGUUCUGCAGUCGUGCCCUCCCCAGUUAGGAGGCUUCGUGCAAGCCACAGUGCUUACAGCACUUCGGAGGCUCUCUGGCUCCUGCGGCCGCCCUUGGACUUCAGGAAAUGUGGCCGCAUUGCAACCCUGCCCCGCGACGGUUGCACUUCGAAGGAUGCCAGAGGCCUGAAGUGACGAAAACUUUCUUCUGAGCGGAAGCCUGCGGGAGCUUUAUGCAGAAGACGUUUCAGUGGGGAAUGCACAUCGGGGGCAGGAUGGUGGCCACGUUCUUAGACUGGACGCGGGCCUGUCACCGGGUUGAUCGCGGUGACCUGGGGGACGGAGCCCUGUGAACAGAGACCGCUGGAGGAACAGGUGUUCGCACAGCGUGACGGUGUCCGUGAGGGUCUCCCCUGCCUUCCGGGGGAAGCGGCGCCCUGCUCCGCGAGCGCUGACUUUGGCUUUGGAGGGAAGAAGGCCUGGGCAUGAACAGACUCCGCCUCCUGGAGCCGACCAUAUCUAGGUACCCACAGGCGCAAAGGCGCUGGAGGAGAUGAAGCAGGCCCAGUGUCCACGCAGCCCACAAAUGUGUGUGGUUGUGCAAAGGGGUUACGUGCUGUGGGUCAGCCCCAUAUCACUCUUCGCCCCCGGGUGUCAGGUUCUGGGCAGUGUCUUGGCCUGCACACCCCACGGGCCCCAGUCCCUCCUACAUGCAGACCCGUCCCUACCUGCUCCGUUGGUCCCUGUGUCCCUCACCCUGGGACACCCCAGUCACCUCCCGUUCUGUCACUAAACCCCAGGAAGCUCCACACCCUCUGCCUCCACUUCCUCAGUGUGCACAGUUCUGACCCCAUGGAGCCCCGCUCCUUUCCCCCCGCCGCACCCCCGUGGCUCUCCCCGAGUGCGACCACGCUGGCCUGCGUUCACCGGCCCUGGGCGCCACGGAGAGGAGCCGGCUCCAGGGGCGCGGGCCUGGCGCUUGCGCUUAGUGAGCGGUUGCCAGUGGGUGUCGAUGAAAAGGGGCCAUUCCCGGUGCAGCGGAGGGCAGACUAAGGAGGAGAGCGGGUUGGCUCUGGGGACAAAGACAGCUCAGCUCGUCCAGCAGAGUGACACCCGAGAUGCUGCUUGAGGGUGGAGCAGGCAGGUGAGAAGGGGGAGGAAGCGCGGGCAGGUGAGGACGGACGCCAUACCUGAAGGACUCGGGCCGUGGGGGGCCCUGCGGCAGCACCCACUUUUAUUCUUCAAUUAGACGCCCCCUAGAAGAAUGCCGUGUAUUUCCCACACACCUUUCCAAGUUCACUUAGUCUCUAAAAUUAUUUUACCCCGAGUCGACUUGCAAAAGUUCUGACGAGUUGUAAACGACAUUUUAACAUGAGGUAGUGACAGGAAUCUGUUAAAUGGACCCCGCGUGUCAAAACACCUGAGUGAUUUCACACCCAGCAGCAUCCACUUAAAAAUACUCAGCGUUUCUACCAAUUAGAAUUUCAUAUUGGCCCUUUCUCUUUUUGAAAACAUUUUCAUUCCACAGACUUUACCUUAAUGGAAAACCUUUUUUGCUUCAAAGCCUUUUAUCGAUCAGACUGUUUAAUCAAGGUUCUGCGUGGAAAUUUCUUCUGGAUCGAACCAUCACUGUUCCUAGCAGUAUAAUUUAAUCAAUAUGUAUCGCAUAACCUGAUGUGUAAUUACUGUAAAUAAAAAUAAAGUUUUACUUGAAA